rnacentral:lncRNA from 1 species
GUAAAACAGCUUGAAAUACAACAUCUGUUUCAUGUCAAUGAAUGUGUGUUCAUAUCACACCUUAAAAAUGCGUCAUGAGCUCAUCUCCCCUUCGAACCUGCUGCUGACCCAUCCAGACCCUGUGGACAUCCGUUGGCUAACAUUCUCUUUAUCUAAUAUACACUAACCGGACAGUUUAUUAGGUACACACCGGGUCGGAUCCUCCUUUUCCUCCAGAACAGCCAGAAUUUUUCGGGGCAUUCUACAAGUUGUCUGAAACGUUCCACAGGGAUGCUGGUUCAUGCUGAUGUGAUGGCAUCACGCAGUUGCUGCAGAUUGAACGGCAAUACAUUCAUGCUGCGAACAGCCCAUUCCAUCUCAUCCCAAAGAUGCUGUACUGGGUUGAGGUCUGAGGACUGAGCAGGCCACUCAAGUAAACUGAACUUUCUGUCAUGCUCCAGGCGAUGUUUUUCCACUCCUUGAUUGUCCAUUGUUGAUGAUCAUGUUCCCACUGGAGCCGCUGCUUCUUGUUUUUAGCUGAUAGGAGUGGAACCCGGUGUGGUUGUCUGCAGCAAUAGCCAAUCCCCGACAAGGAUCGACAAGUUGUGCGUUCUGAGAUGCUGUUCGGCACACCACUGUUGUACUGCGUCAUUAUUUGUCUGUUUGUGGCCCGCCUGUUGGCUUGCACGAUUCUUGCCAUUCUCUUUUGACCUCUCAUCAACGAGUUGUUUUCGCCAACAGGACUGCCGCAGAAUGGAUGUUUUUUUGUUUGUCGCACCAUUCACGGUAAACUCUAGACACUGUUGUGCCUGAAAAGCCCAGGAAGGUGGCCAUUUCUGAGAACAGGAGUGUCUGGCACCGACGAUCAUAACAUGCUUAAAGUCACUUACGUCAGUUGUUUUGUCCAUUCUAACGUUCAAUGGAACAGUAACUGAAUGCCUCAAUCCCUGUCUCCCUGCUUUAUAUAGCAAGUCACGGCCACGUGACUCACUGUCUGUAAGAGCGAUCCAUUUUCGUAAAUGGGGUGGUGUACCAAAUAAACUGGCCGAUGAGUGAGUUGUUUUUGGGAGUGUCUGUACUUUACUUUACUAUUUAUAUUUUUGACAACUUUUACUUUUACUUCGUCACAUUCAUAAAGAAAAUAAUGUAUUUUUACUCAAUACAAUUUCCCUGACACCAAAAAGUACUCAUUACAUUUUGAAUACCUAGCAGGACAGGAAAUGGUCCAAUUCACACACUUAUCAAGAGAACAUCCCUGGUCAUCUCUACGGCCUCUGAUCUGGCGGCCUGAGUAUUGGAGUGUGUCCCUGGCUAUCCGUAAAUUAAGAAAACAUCCCGGUUUGCUUCAUAAAAGGAAUUUGAAAUUAUUUUUACUUUUGAUACUUAAGUAUAUUUUAGCAAUUACAUUUACUUUUGAUACUUAGGUAUAUUUAAAACCAAAUACUUUUUACUUAAGUAGUAUUUUACUGGGUGACUUUUACUUGAGUCAUUUUCUAUUAAGCUAUCUUUACUUUUGCUCAAGUGUGACAAUUGGGUAGUUUUUCCACCACUGAUUGCAUUCUACCACCUGGAAUGUCAUUGCAUUCUACCACCAGAAUAUUUCUAGAUUUGUACACUGAACAAAAACAUAAAUGCAACUUGAAGUGCUGAAGAAAAAAAAAUCCAGGAAAUGUUCCAUAUGCACACAUUUGUUUACAUCCUUGUUAGUGAGCUUUUCUCCUUUGCCAAGAUAAUCCAUCCACCUGACAGUUGUCAUAAAGAAGCUGAUUAAACAGCAUGAUCAUUACACAGGUGCACCUUGUGCAGGGGGACAAUAAAAGGCCACUUUAAAAUGUACAGUUUUGUCACACAACACAAUGCCACAGAUGUCUCAAGUUUUGAGGGAGCAUGCAGAUGGCAUGCUGACUGCAGGAAUGUCCACCAGAGCUCUUGCCAGAUAAUUUUAUGUUAAUUUCUCUACCAUAAGCUACCUCCGUCGUUUUAGAGAAAUUGUCUACGCACAACCGGCCUCGCAACCGCAGACCACGUGGGGGUUGCUGUGGAGCGUUUCUGUCUGUAGUAAAGCCCUUUUGUGGGGAAAAAAAUAUUUGUGAUUGGCUGAGCCUGGUGGUGGGUGGCCCUGGCUGCCAAGUGGGUAGGCCCAACCAUGGCUACACCUCUGCCCAAUCAUGUGAAAUCCAU